GAAAUGCGAUAAGUAAUGCGAAUUGCAGAAUUUCCGUGAGUCAUCGAAUCUUUGAACGCACAUUGCGCCCACUGGUAUUCCGGUGGGCAUGCCUGUUCGAGCGUCAUUAUCCUCCCUCAAACCUCGGGUUUGGUGUUGGGCCAAGUUGCGAUUUGUGAACAACUGGCCCCAAAGACAAUGACGGCGUCCGCGGGACCCUCGGUGCAACGAGCUUUCAGGAGCACGCGUCGAGUCUAAAGGUCCCUCCGGGCCGGUCUAACCCCUUUUUACUUCUAAAGGUUGACCUCGGAUCAGGUAGGGAUACCCGCUGAACUUAA
rnacentral:misc_RNA from 1 species